GCGGGUGUAGCUCAGCGGUAGAGCGCAACCUUGCCAAGGUUGAUGUCGAGAGUUCGAUCCUCUUCACCCGCU
rnacentral:tRNA from 1 species